rnacentral:rRNA from 1 species
ACGAACGCUGGCGGCGUGCCUCAUACAUGCAAGUAGAACGCUGAAGGAGGAGCUUGCUUCUCUGGAUGAGUUGCGAACGGGUGAGUAACGCGUAGGUAACCUGCCUGGUAGCGGGGGAUAACUAUUGGAAACGAUAGCUAAUACCGCAUAAUAGCAGUUGUUGCAUGACAACUGUUUGAAAGGUGCAAUUGCACCACUACCAGAUGGACCUGCGUUGUAUUAGCUAGUUGGUGGGGUAACGGCUCACCAAGGCGACGAUACAUAGCCGACCUGAGAGGGUGGUCGGCCACACUGGGACUGAGACACGGCCCAGACUCCUACGGGAGGCAGCAGUAGGGAAUCUUCGGCAAUGGACGGAAGUCUGACCGAGCAACGCCGCGUGAGUGAAGAAGGUUUUCGGAUCGUAAAGCUCUGUUGUAAGAGAAGAACGAGUGUGAGAGUGGAAAGUUCACACUGUGACGGUAUCUUACCAGAAAGGGACGGCUAACUACGUG